rnacentral:lncRNA from 1 species
UCAGUUUAUUUUCGAUUUAUGAGUUUGACUGUCCCUCUAGUAUCUUUCGUCCCUCUUUUUAGGAAAAUAUACAGUCCCAGUAGAACAGAAUCAUCAAUUUAAUUUUCAUUUUGACUUAUUGGUUUGACUACAGAUACAACUUCAAAAUUAAUUUCUUCCAAGUAUGAUAGAGGACGAUAACGUAAUCAAAAAAAAAAAGAUAUGAUUCCCCAG